rnacentral:rRNA from 1 species
UACAGGGGGGGCAAGCGUUGUUCGGAAUUACUGGGCGUAAAGGGCGCGUAGGCGGCAUGGCAAGUGGAAGGUGAAAUCCCUCGGCUUAACCGAGGAACUGCCCUCCAAACUGCUUUGCUUGAGGCCGGGAGAGGUGAGUGGAAUUCCCAGUGUAGCGGUGAAAUGCGUAGAUAUUGGGAGGAACACCAGUGGCGAAGGCGGCUCACUGGACCGGUUCUGACGCUGAUGCGCGAAAGCUCGGGGAGCAAACAGG